GAAAUGUGUGCGCUUGUUCCCUCUUAUUAUUAUUAUUAGGAAAAAUUACUUAAAUACACUACUUUAAUUAUCUUAAUAACCAUUUAUCCCAACUUAUUUUAAAAAUUUCAAAAAUCCCUUAUUCCCCCAAUUCAAAAAAAUAUAAAAGAUACAUCAAGAUUUUCCACCUUUUUUUCACCCAAUUGGCAAGUUUUACUUUACCAAAAACUAAAUCCUAUUUUUAAGCUACCCACUUCCCCAUUAACAUCCCCAAUUAAAAUUUACCAUAUUAAUUUUUAUUCCUUUUCCUUUUUAUUUCCCUACAUUGUAGGUGUAUAAUUGUCUACUUUUAAUUCUCCAUUCCACACGUUUGCAGGUUAAUUUUGAAUUCCAGUUAAAAUUUCAUCCAUAUCUAUUUGAUAUUCUAGGACUCUCUUUCCAUCUACCAAAUUUUCUCCUUCAGCUUAUUCAUCGUGACUAUCUUUCCAUCUAACUAGAUUUUCUCAUUCAUUCAAUUCAUCGUGUGAGUUUACAAAUAUCAUGGAAGAGUGUGGUAAUUUCAAAUGUGUGUAUGAUUCUGAUGAUGAGCUGUGGGCUGAGAAUAGAUCUAAGCGAUUGCAUGACCCAUUGUUGAUGAAGAACAACAAUGAUGAGCCAAAGAAGAAGACUGAAGAAAUCAAGAAAAAAGGGCCAAGAAAAGUUACAUCAACUGUGUAACUUAUUAUACGUAGCUGGGACAGGAUGAACAAGUUUAUAUGUUGUUUUGUGUUGAAGACAAUUAUCUUUUGUGUUUUUCUAAAAGCUUAUUGGUAUUACAAUAUUUUAUUAGUUAUGAAUGUUAUAUUUUUUCAAGUUAUUUUUUUA